UACGUAGGGUCCGAGCGUUGUCCGGAUUUAUUGGGCGUAAAGAGCUCGUAGGCGGCUCAGUAAGUCGGAUGUGAAAACUCGGGGCUCAACCCCGAGACGCCAUCCGAUACUGCUGUGGCUCGAAUCUGGUAGGGGAGCACGGAAUUCCUGGUGUAGCGGUGAAAUGCGCAGAUAUCAGGAGGAACACCGGCGGCGAAGGCGGCAUCCUGGACCAUUACUGACGCUGAGGUGCGAAAGCUAGGGUAGCAAACGGG
rnacentral:rRNA from 1 species